rnacentral:lncRNA from 1 species
GACUUUCUGUUAAUUGUUUUGUUCUGGCUUACCUUGCUAUUCAAAUAUAAGAAAUUACGAUUCUUUUUUUUUUUUGUUGUUCUUUUUUUUCGGAGCUGGGGACCGAACCCAGGGCCUUGCGCUUCCUAGGUAAGCGCUCUACCACUGAGCUAAAUCCCCAGCCCCUAGAAAUUACGAUUCUUAAUGUCUGAGGCCUGGGAUGAAACAGAAUGUUAGACUUCAGAUGAAGUGAAUUACUCAUUCCUAAAACUUCCCUUUUUGUUGUUGUUUGGUAUGUUGGCUCUUAUAUAUUGAUAGUUUCAAUGUGUGUAUAAUCAUAUGAAAAUUAUUGGUAUACACUAUUUGCUUUGUUUAAGCCCAGACCAAAAACCUUGGAGGAAAGAAACUAUUUUUGCCACUGUAAGUAUGGUUUUUAAAUUCUUGAUCCUUUAAUGUGUUAUGUAUAUAAGAACUUGUACAGCCUGAUGCCUUCUUUAUAACACCAUGUGGCAAAGACUUGGGAGAGUGCUUGUGUGUGUGUGUGUGUGUGUGUGUGUGUGUGUGUGUGUGUGUGUGUAAAACAGAUGUUACGAUCUAUUAUCAUGCCAUCUAGUUACUAGUCGUAAGACUUUAUAGAGGUACCAAGUUCUUCUAAGAUCCUAUCCCUCAAUGUCUCAUAAGGUAAAUAAUACCUGUAGUUGCAGAGAUAAGCUGUGUUGGUAAAUUUUUUCCUUGACAGGAUAGGGACACCAUAGACACCAAUAUGUACAUAUUCCUGUGGAAUUGUGGACCAGAAGAAGGUGCAAUCUAGAAAUUGAACCUUUCUUCACCUUGGGCCUCCUUUCACUGCCUAGAGCCAUGGUGAUUCUACUAUCAAGUAACAGAUUUCAGGCUUUGUCUCCAAGCAGUAAACAUUCCUGAUCAUACAGGGUCAGAAGAAAGACUUAAACCUUGUGGAACUGCAGUAAUAGUGGAUGUGAGUUGCCAUACAGGAGUGCUGAGCAGCAUACACUGUUGAGACUUCUCUCCAGAAUCUCAUGUAUACCUUAACUUCCCUACGCCUUUCUUGUUUAAGUUUUUUCAUAAUAAAGAAAUAAUUUCUAAUAAACCAGCUAUACAAA